UACGUAGGGUGCGAGCGUUGUCCGGAAUUAUUGGGCGUAAAGAGCUCGUAGGCGGUCUGUCGCGUCUGCUGUGAAAACUCAGGGCUUAACCCUGAGCUUGCAGUGGGUACGGGCAGACUAGAGUGCGGUAGGGGAGACUGGAAUUCCUGGUGUAGCGGUGAAAUGCGCAGAUAUCAGGAGGAACACCGAUGGCGAAGGCAGGUCUCUGGGCCACUACUGACGCUGAGGAGCGAAAGCGUGGGUAGCAAACAGG
rnacentral:rRNA from 1 species